AUUGAACGCUGGCGGCAUGCUUUACACAUGCAAGUCGAACGGUAACAGGCCUUCGGGUGCUGACGAGUGGCGAACGGGUGAGUAAUGCAUCGGAACGUACCCAGAGGUGGGGGAUAACGCAGCGAAAGCUGUGCUAAUACCGCAUGUGAUCUGAGGAUGAAAGCGGGGGACCGAGCAGCAAUGUUUGGCCUCGCGCCUUUGGAGCGGCCGAUGUCGGAUUAGCUAGUUGGGGGGGUAAAGGCCUACCAAGGCGACGAUCCGUAGCUGGUCUGAGAGGACGGCCAGCCACACUGGGAGUGAGACACGGCCGAGACUCCUACGGGAGGCAGCAGUGGGGAAUUUUGGGCAAUGGGCGAGAGCCUGAUCCAGCAAUGCCGCGUGCGGGAAGAAGGCCUUAGGGUUGUAAACCGCUUUUGGCAGGAACGAAACGGUGUCCGCUAAUACCGGGCGCUAAUGACGGUACCUGCAGAAUAAGCACCGGCUAACUACGUG
rnacentral:rRNA from 1 species